rnacentral:tRNA from 1 species
UAGCUCAGUGGUAGAGCAUUGCCUUGCCAAGGCAAGGGUCGCGGGUUCAAAUCC